CAAAAGCAGCACUUAGUUUGGGAAAGACAAUAGACAGUAAAACAAUCAUAACAUUUAUUCUAGUUGUUGUAAUCAAAUGCGAACUGAGAAUACACUCUCAAAUGUUGUAACGGUCUGCACAGGCUGAUAAGAAACCUUCCUUACUCAAGGACUUUCCCACAGGCAAGGCAUCACCAAGCAGGAUAUUUUGGGUCACCUCUUUAACCUUUUAAACAUCUGCCUUCCUUAUGCGUCCAUCAAGUCCCCUGCUGUACUGACAGGGCAUACGACAGAGGGAGCCUUAGCACAUGGGUGAAAAAUCCCCUCCUCGCUGCGUCGGGGCCAGCUAUGUGGUUUGGACUUAACACGGGGAUGCUCUGUCUCAGGAGACGGCUUUCUAUGGCCUCACCAAGAAAGCAGCAGUAUGAAAGAUGUGAACGUCCCAACAAAGCUGCACAGAUGUAAGGACUGCUGCAGCAGCAAUAUGUCUGGAUAUGCACCAACCAAAGGAAGAGGGACUGCAAGCAAUCAAACGUGGCAGUGAAGAAAUGUAGCUUUUCUUAAAACUGUUUUUGCUGUUUUGAGGAAGAAGAUACACUUAACUUGUUUAUUAAACCACAAGAACAUGCAUAAAGCUGUUUGAUGAGAAACAGGGGUGUUAAAUAAAUAAAUUCUAUUAGUACUAUGGAAUAUAGCCAGUCCCAGGCUCACUUGGCGCAAUCCAAGGUGACCAGGCCAACAUUAUACCAGAGGCAAAACAGUUUCUUUAAAAUUUAAAUGUAAUCCAAGCUGAAUGAAAAAUAUGCUAUAAAUGAAGCACAAAUCAUGAAGGGAGAAGAGGGAUGGGGGAGGGGGAUUGGGGACUUUUCCAACAGCCAUUGGGCAAGAAUUAUGAAAAUGAGGAGGUGAAAUGUACAUUAAUUUAAUGCUGGUUAAUUAAAACAGUCAAUCUUACCUGAUCCUUUCUCCUUUCUCAGAAAAAUCACCACAGCCAGGAUAACCACGAGUAAACACAGCAGCAGAACCUAUAACCCAGAAGAUAAAAUGGCAAGAUGUUUGUUAAAGCUGUUAGAGAUAGCAGCCACUAAUUUCACAUUGUUUAUUUUGAACUAUUUGAACUUUGAGAAAAGAAAAAGGUUCAAGCACUACAAAAUCUCGUCUCUCUCAAGAGAAGACACAAAUUAACAAAACUAAAUCACGUCCACACUCAAAGCUUCAGCGCUAGUACAUCUAAUACUUGCUGUUGUACAGCAAGUAUUAGAUGGGAUCCUCUUCACCUAUGACUAAAUCAUGCUGUUAUUUUGCCUCUAAGUAUCACUAACACGAGGCUGACAUUACAGGCUCUUAAAAUAAUAUUAAUGGACCGAUCAUGAAUAAAUUUGUUGUAUCCACAGUUCGCAGAGGAACCCAGCUGACUCACAUGAUCCUCUUAAAUUUCCAAGUUUUCUUUUCAAAAAAUGUGAUGCAGCUGCAGAUGCAGACUGAGAAUCACAAAAACAGCCAAGCUACGAGACGGUCAAGAACAAACGGGCUCAGUGUUUCUCUGUACUUCACUGUCUUCAAUUCCGUUUAAAAACUGUGUCUGGAAAAAAUUCUUUUAUUGAAUCGUUUAUUUACACUUUACGCACCAGAGACAGCAUGCUAUUUUUCCCCAGAUCCUCGUCCAACAGGGGGAAAACCCCUGAUCGGAUUACAACUCUGUGUGCAUUGUUACUAAACUACAAUCAUGUAAAAAAAAAGAAAAGAAAAAAAGAAAAAACAUACAGAGUUUGACGUCUCCAAGUUAAAAUAAAAAUGUACAUGUCUUAUGCAACUUUGUUACUUUUUUACUGUUAAGAAUUGGUAUUUGGGGCCUGUUGAAUUACACUAGGGUGGCAAACACUACUCGAUCACCAUGCUAUUGUUUUCUGUAUACUUCUAAUUAUGCUUACAUUAGCUUUUAGCUCAAAGCCCUACUCCAUUACUGCAGCUGAAGAGGUUUAGAUACGUUGCUUUAUUCAGUUAUCCUUCUACCAUCCACCGAGACUUCCAUCUGUAUCCUCACAGGCUCAACUGUUGAUUUUAACAAUUUCCACACCAUCUCCAUCUGUCUAUAUAUUAGUCUCAGCUCUCUGCAGUUGGAAGUAGUGAUCCAGAAUUGUUUUUGUUUGUUUUUUUAAAAAUCACAACCUUUCUGCCCCAGGACAGCAGCUCCCUGGGGGCGAGUGGUUUGUAAUUAGAUGGGUGUUUCAAAGAUUACUUUACUUAGAAAUGACAGUGUUUACCAGGGUUAUCACGGAUGCUGAUUUUGAAGCGUCUGCAAUGCCCCAAACCAGGCCAGUUACUCAUUAUGGCAUUACAAAUCUUCAUUUUAAAUGUGUCGCCAGAUUUUAAUAUUUAUUGUUCUGGUAAAAUUGUGCCUUGCAAUCACAGUUUUUAAAGAGUAUAAUAUGUAAGUGCGUUAUGGCUCAUCUCCUUUUAUUCCUAUGACCAUCUUAUCACCUCUCUGCUGGGAACGCAGCUGCAAAUAUUUCCUUAGCACAACACAAGUCAUAGUUUAAAGCAAGUCUCUUGUUCUCUGGUGUCACUUUUUGCUGGCACAAAGAGUCUAAUUUCCUCUCAGAAAUGAUACAUUUUUAAUCUUUUCACACUGUUUCUGUAGUCUAUUACUUUUAACUGAAAGGGGGAAAAAGCUAAACUAAAAAGUUCAAAAAAACAGGCUUAAAGUGGAAAAACAUAAAUUCUUCCUGGAGGAAAGAUUUUACAGAGGAUUUACAGUUUAAACAAACAAAUCCUCAAGCCAAAACUAGUCCGAUCCUCCCAAGCUAGAAAGCUACAGCAGUACAGCAGGAGUAAUCUACUUAGUGUGAUUCACAAGAGCUGGAAUUCCUAUACAGGUAUGAAAACGCACUGCUGUAUUUGGUGUCUGGGUACGUGCACUUAUUUUCCCCAGCUAUAGGUGAAAAAAACUGUAAACUUGGAUGGGCUUCACAGAAAUGCUUAAAGACGGGGUCUCUGUGGGUUGUGAAAGUAAACAGACUGUCUGGUGGAAACCUACUGGGCUGCCUGAAACACGCUUUAAUAUUUAUUCAGACCCCCCACCAUGACCACCACUCAUUUUCCAUUGUCUACAAGAGAAUGAUGUAAAGGUUCUGAAAUUAAACUACAGAUGAAAGUCAUCUUCGAAGUGGACAUCAAAAAAAGGCUAUCCAAAGACACAAAAACUCUUUCUAGGGAAGUGUCAUUCUAGUUCAGGGGUGGACUUAGACACAAAAGCUAAGGGCUACACAUCAAACUGCCAUCAUGUGUGGCCUUAUGACAUGCACAAAGCUGAAAGAUAUGGUAGAUAUGACAAGCUGCUCUCGCAUAAGCCUGGAUCCUUGAUCCAAAAAAAAAAAAAAACAACAACUCUGCUACUUUUCUGUGUUAAUCAGGUGCACAACUGCACAACUGAAGCAAUCUAGCUUCUCAGGCAGCAGGGCAAAAGAGGAACUACCAUAGAAAAAACAGUUUAAGGUGGGUGGAGUUUGAACAGAUCUAUGUGGUGAAGGAGUGGUAGACAUUCACUUUAUUAUUCAUUGUCAUAAAGUGUUAGUGGGUACUCAAGAUUGAGCUUUUACUUAUUUUUGAGUUAUUUUGGGGUUUUAAGACAUUAGGGAUGUAUUGCAAAGUAGUUACUGCACCAUUUUCUGGUAAACCCAUUGAACUAAAGCUUACAAUCUGCACUUAAAACACAUCUUGAUUGGUUUAAUUUAAAAUCCACUGUGGUAGUGUACAGAGGCGAAACUACAAAGUCAUGCUAUUGUCCGAAUUGUCGUGGACCUUAAAAAUGAGACCUUGUGUGUGUCUAAUUGGUAUAAAGCAGACAGCAUCUGGUUAUUGUGGUGUCGAGCUGAAGGUCGCAAGUGAAUAGCUGAAAGGAUGCGCACAUUCUCAAAUGACUUCUUUGACAUGCAGUUUAUGCCUCAGUGAUGAAGGAGAUCACGAACAUUCCAGACAUGUUUAACUUUCCACUUCCAACUUAAAAAAAAAUCACAAUUUAUUUCACUAUAUUACAGCAAGAAACAUGUUUUUCUGAUAUGACUAUGACCGCAGCAAUAUAAAACAAGUCCAUAAAACAUAACGGUAUUUUUCUUUACAAUUGCUUCAAUUAUGUUUUUUUCUGUAAAGACUGAAACACACUCCAGAUUUAGCCUCCACAAAGACUAAGUGUGGUUAGUUUCAAUGCCCCGAGGAGCUGUGAACAAUAAAAGCUGCUGUUGUUUUCUGAGACGUUCCUUCUGUGAUAAAAAUACUGUUCUGGGGAAAACAAAGAACAGACCCAGCAGAUUAAAAUGUCCAUUCCUGCCAGUGAUGGAGAUAGCCAAGUAUUGCGUCAAAGUUCGCACAGCCUGUCUUUUGGUCGACAUAUUUUUAAACCUUUAAGUUAUUAUUUUUCAGAUUUAGACUAAUAAUUCAAUAUACAUAUUUACCAAUGCUACAUUAUUACAGAUUACACCUUAAAGCGCUACCAAAGUUUUGAUCUACUGGGCCAGAUGUGGGGAUGUUACUGGACACUGAAGAUUAUUGAUCAAGUCAGAAUCUUAAAAUUAACAAUGUGUUUUGUAAGAGAGUCCAGGGUCAAGAUGGGCCGGUUUAAAUGAGUCUGUUCUUGAUGGUAGCACAAGAAGAACAGGCCAAGCCGUGACAAACGUCCACAUCCACCUUCUUUCACUGUUUAAUUCAGGUUCUUGGGCGGGGUGCUGGAGCCUACCACACAUUUCAUAAAAGUUAGAGGUGUGUUACACUUUGCACAGAUAGCUAGUUUAUCUCAGGAACUGCCAAUCAACCCAACACACAUCUUCAUCAGUGCUGACUAUCACAGCACUGUGCCUGUCUGUUUGUUGAACAGUCUUGCAUUAGAGUAAAACAAAUAUUGCUCAAUUAUGUGAGAAACUAUUUGCCCAAUUAGUCAACGUUAUAAAUAAUUAUAGUUAUAAACAACUUCAGCUACUACCUGUGCCUCUGCACGGUAACAUCUAGAACCACUAAAACUACAUCAAAACAAAGCGCUGGCAGGACGACUCAUUUUCCAGCUGCCUGAAUACACCCAAUAUUUUGCUGAAACGACACUUUGGAUCAGAGUCAACGUUGUGGGGUCAGAGCUCCACCCAGCCCUGCUUCACACUAACAACUGCAGGUCUUGUCCACCUGCAGAGAGCCUGCUGGCCUGUGUCUGUUUGCAGUGGAGUGAAAACAUUUAGUUUCCACGUUCACGCUGGCAACACUGACAGUCUCGUCUGUGUGGCAGCUGUGAAUUAAUGACAGUGUGAGUAAACAGCGCAGAAAUGCUGACCCGAGGAUGUGGUUUUUGAUCCCUGACGAUGGUUCUCUUCCCCUAGUUAAACAUCACACAGUGCCAGUUAAGGUUAACUGUCUAAUGUUUGACAAAAAUUAUACAUUAAAAAAAAAAAAAGGACUAAGACUCAACAGGGCCCAAAAUGACGCCUUCAAAUGUUUUUUAAACCCCAGAAUCCAGUUUGCAAUUAUGAGACAAAAGAAAAAAGAUGGACAUCUCUUCAUUUCAAACAGGGACAGAUGAUUUUUUCCCCCAGUAUUUCUUCUAGAGGACAAAAGACAGCAGCUACUUAUUAAUCAAUAAUAUCAUCUAUAAUAAUAGUGUCCCUGACACUUUAAGGGCUUCCCAAUUUAAAAGUCACAUUUAAGACCAUGCAGUAAUAUGAGUGGCAGGAGCUCAGACACAUACAUUAACUAUAAUGUGUGACUUUCACACUGCGGAAGUCAAUCGCUCAAAGUUGCCCUCCAUGCUGCCAAAGUGCAACUGAACAUACCCCAAUAAUGAUUUUACGGCGGGUACUCCUUUUAUUCUCAUUCAUGCUC